rnacentral:rRNA from 1 species
UAGAGGAAGUAAAAGUCGUAACAAGGUUUCCGUAGGUGAACCUGCGGAAGGAUCAUUAUCGAAUUAUAAGCGAGGGUUGUUGCUGGCCUCUUUCGAGGCACGUGCACGCCCGAGCUCUUAAAUCCACAACACACCUGUGAACCCACCGUAGGCCUUCGGGCUUAUGUAUCAUUAUACUCUGAAUGUGUCAUAGAAUGUUCAUGUUGCCUUAAAACGCAAUCAAAUACAACUUUCAACAACGGAUCUCUUGGCUCNCGCAUCGAUGAAGAACGCAGCGANAUGCGAUAAGUAAUGUGAAUUGCAGAAUUCAGUGAAUCAUCGAAUCUUUGAACGCACCUUGCGCUCCUUGGUAUUCCGAGGAGCAUGCCUGUUUGAGUGUCAUUUGACUUAUCAAACCACCUCGUCUGCUUGGUGGCUUUGGAUGUUGGGGGUCUUUGCAGGCUUUGAACUAAAGGUCGGCUCCCCUGAAACGCAUUAGUGGCAUCNGAGCUGCUACUAUAGGUGUGAUAAAUUAUCUAUGCCUUUGGUAUGCCGCAUGNACAGAUUGCGCUGCUCACAACAAAACUUGACAAACUUGACCUCAAAUCAGGUAGGACUACCCGCUGAACUUAAGCAUAUCAAUA